GACGAACGCUGGCGGCGUGCUUAACACAUGCAAGUCGAACGGAGAGGCCCUGCUUUUGUGGGGUGCUCGAGUGGCGAACGGGUGAGUAACACGUGAGUAACCUGCCCUUGACUUUGGGAUAACUUCAGGAAACUGGGGCUAAUACCGGAUAGGAGCUCCUGCUGCAUGGUGGGGGUUGGAAAGUUUCGGCGGUUGGGGAUGGACUCGCGGCUUAUCAGCUUGUUGGUGGGGUAGUGGCUUACCAAGGCUUUGACGGGUAGCCGGCCUGAGAGGGUGACCGGCCACAUUGGGACUGAGAUACGGCCCAGACUCCUACGGGAGGCAGCAGUGGGGAAUAUUGCACAAUGGGCGGAAGCCUGAUGCAGCAACGCCGCAUGCGGGAUGACGGCCUUCGGGUUGUAAACCGCUUUCGCCUGUGACGAAGCGUGAGUGACGGUAAUGGGUAAAGAAGCACCGGCUAACUACGUGCCAGCAGCCGCGGUGAUACGUAGGGUGCGAGCGUUGUCCGGAUUUAUUGGGCGUAAAGGGCUCGUAGGUGGUUGAUCGCGUCGGAAGUGUAAUCUUGGGGCUUAACCCUGAGCGUGCUUUCGAUACGGGUUGACUUGAGGAAGGUAGGGGAGAAUGGAAUUCCUGGUGGAGCGGUGGAAUGCGCAGAUAUCAGGAGGAACACCAGUGGCGAAGGCGGUUCUCUGGGCCUUUCCUGACGCUGAGGAGCGAAAGCGUGGGGAGCGAACAGGCUUAGAUACCCUGGUAGUCCACGCUGUAAACGGUGGGUACUAGGUGUGGGGUCCAUUCCACGGGUUCCGUGCCGUAGCUAACGCUUUAAGUACCCCGCCUGGGGAGUACGGCCGCAAGGCUAAAACUCAAAGGAAUUGACGGGGCCCCGCACAAGCGGCGGAGCAUGCGGAUUAAUUCGAUGCAACGCGUAGAACCUUACCUGGGUUUGACAUGGAUCGGGAGCGCUCAGAGAUGGGUGUGCCUCUUUUGGGGUCGGUUCACAGGUGGUGCAUGGCUGUCGUCAGCUCGUGUCGUGAGAUGUUGGGUUAAGUCCCGCAACGAGCGCAACCCUUGUUCACUGUUGCCAGCACGUUAUGGUGGGGACUCAGUGGAGACCGCCGGGGUCAGCUCGGAGGAAGGUGGGGAUGACGUCAAGUCAUCAUGCCCCUUAUGUCCAGGGCUUCACGCAUGCUACAAUGGCUGGUACAGAGAGUGGCGAGCCUGUGAGGGUGAGCGAAUCUCGGAAAGCCGGUCUCAGUUCGGAUUGGGGUCUGCAACUCGACCUCAUGAAGUCGGAGUCGCUAGUAAUCGCAGAUCAGCAACGCUGCGGUGAAUACGUUCCCGGGGCU
rnacentral:rRNA from 1 species